UUAAGUUCAGCGGGUAUCCCUACCUGAUCCGAGGUCAACCUGAAAAAAUGGGGGGUUGUUGGCAGGCACGCGCCCAGGCCUCCAGAGCGAGAAGAGUUACUGCGCUCGGGGCCGGGCGGCACCGCCACUGACUUUAGGGCCCGCCAGGCGGCGGGGCCCAACACCAAGCUAGGCUUGAGGGUUGUAAUGACGCUCGGACA
rnacentral:misc_RNA from 1 species